UACGAAGGGGCUAGCGUUGCUCGGAAUCACUGGGCGUAAAGGGUGCGUAGGCGGGUCUUUAAGUCAGGGGUGAAAUCCUGGAGCUCAACUCCAGAACUGCCUUUGAUACUGAAGAUCUUGAGUUCGGGAGAGGUGAGUGGAACUGCGAGUGUAGAGGUGAAAUUCGUAGAUAUUCGCAAGAACACCAGUGGCGAAGGCGGCUCACUGGCCCGAUACUGACGCUGAGGCACGAAAGCGUGGGAGCAACAGGA
rnacentral:rRNA from 1 species